rnacentral:rRNA from 1 species
UACGAAGGGGGCUAGCGUUGCUCGGAAUGACUGGGCGUAAAGGGCGCGUAGGCGGAUGGCACAGUCAGAUGUGAAAUUCCCGGGCUUAACCUGGGGGCUGCAUUUGAUACGUGUGAUCUAGAGUGAGGAAGAGGGUCGUGGAAUUCCCAGUGUAGAGGUGAAAUUCGUAGAGAUCGGAAAGAACACCAACGGCGAAAGCACUCUGCUGGGCCGACACUGACACUGAGAGACGAAAGCUAGGGGAGCGAAUGGG